AUUGAACGCUGGCGGCAUGCUUUACACAUGCAAGUCGACCGAGUGGCGGACGGGUGAGUAACACAUCGGAACGUGCCCAGUAAUGGGGGAUAACUGUCCGAAAGGGCAGCUAAUACCGCAUACUAUUGGAGCGGCCGAUGUCUGAUUAGCUAGUUGGCGGGGUAAAGGCUCACCAAGGCGACGAUCCGUAGCGGGUCUGAGAGGAUGACCCGCCACACUGGGACUGAGACACGGCCCAGACUCCUACGGGAGGCAGCAGUGGGGAAUUUUGGACAAUGGGCGCAAGCCUGAUCCAGCCAUGCCGCGUGUCUGAAGAAGGCCUUCGGGUUGUAAAGGACUUUUGUCAGGGAAGCGGUACCUGAAGAAUAAGCACCGGCUAACUACGUGCCAGCAGCCGCGGUAAUAC
rnacentral:rRNA from 1 species